UGUGGGGCUCAUUCACGAGUUCCGUGCCGCAGCUAACGCAUUAAGUGCCCCGCCUGGGGAGUACGGCCGCAAGGCUAAAACUCAAAGGAAUUGACGGGGGCCCGCACAAGCGGCGGAGCAUGCGGAUUAAUUCGAUGCAACGCGAAGAACCUUACCAAGGCUUGACAUGCACCGGAACUGCUCAGAGAUGGGUAGGUCUUCGGACUGGUGCACAGGUGGUGCAUGGUUGUCGUCAGCUCGUGUCGUGAGAUGUUGGGUUAAGUCCCGCAACGAGCGCAACCCUCGUCCUAUGUUGCCAGCACGUUAUGGUGGGGACUCAUAGGAGACUGCCGGGGUCAACUCGGAGGAAGGUGGGGAUGACGUCAAAUCAUCAUGCCCCUUAUGUCUUGGGCUUCACGCAUGCUACAAUGGCCGGUACAAAGGGCUGCGAUACCGCGAGGUGGAGCGAAUCCCAAAAAGCCGGUCUCAGUUCGGAUUGGGGUCUGCAACUCGACCCCAUGAAGUCGGAGUCGCUAGUAAUCGCAGAUCAGCAACGCUGCGGUGAAUACGUUCCCGGGCCUUGUACACUCCGCC
rnacentral:rRNA from 1 species